rnacentral:lncRNA from 1 species
CGAAUUGGCAGCAUGUGAGAGCGAAUCUCGGGGAUGGGCCUGUGAGAUCCUUGCUUGCUUGCUGCAGGGACGACGAAGAGGACGGGAAAAGCCUAACGUUGGACCUUAAUCUAGUUUGGUACAAGGCCAGCUCGCAUCACCCACUUUCAAUAGGAGCAGCUCAAUGCCGGCGCCGAACGAGUUUCCUGAAUCCUUUCGUCCCCCUCGGACAUGAGAAUCCAGCGGCGAGAGAGCGUGACGACGACGCUCUUAUGCCAUAUCGGUGAUGCUUAUCCAACAUUACUAAUGAAUGAUGGCCUCAUAAAACGCUCGUAAGGCCCAACUUGCUUCUCAUUAAUGAGAUGAAGUAACAUGAUAAUAAUAAUAGUAACUGCAAUUGGAGGUUUUAACUUUGAUUAAUAUACACGAAAACUUGUAUGGUAUAAUCUUAUUGGGUAGGGGUGGUUCAAAGCACUAUAUGAUUGUGGAUCCUUUCGACACUCAAGAGUCUUUAUACGUGUCAGGUAAGGUGAAAGGUCACACAACUUUUGAAUAUUUUGAUUGGUUAAAAUUUAGUGAUUUUUCAACUUUAGACAAAUAAAGGAUUCAAAUAGUUGUUUCUUCUCACCUUGUCUCCUAGAUGUAAAGAUUAUGUCAAUUUUGA